rnacentral:rRNA from 1 species
CCUACGGGAGGCAGCAGUGGGGAAUCUUGCGCAAUGGGGGAAACCUUGACGCAGCAACGCCGCGUGGGUGAUGAAGGCCUUCGGGUCGUAAAGCCCUGUCAGGUGGGAAGAAACAUGUCGGUGCUAAUAUCACCGAUGUUUGACGGUACCGCCGGAGGAAGCACCGGCUAACUCCGUGCCAGCAGCCGCGGUAAUACGGAGGGUGCAAGCGUUGUUCGGAAUUACUGGGCGUAAAGCGCGUGUAGGCGGUCGGGCAAGUCAGAUGUGAAAGCCUUCCGCUCAACGGAAGAAGUGCAUUUGAAACUACCCGGCUGGAGUACGGGAGAGGAGAGUGGAAUUCCCGGUGUAGAGGUGAAAUUCGUAGAUAUCGGGAGGAACACCAGUGGCGAAGGCGGCUCUCUGGUCCGAUACUGACGCUGAGACGCGAAAGCGUGGGGAGCAAACAGGAUUAGAUACCCUGGUAGUCCACGCCGUAAACGAUGGGCACUAGGUGUAGGAGGUAUUGACCCCUUCUGUGCCGAAGUUAACGCAUUAAGUGCCCCGCCUGGGGAGUACGGCCGCAAGGUUAAAACUUAAAGGAAUUGACGG